CGACGCCCCGGCUGAGCCAGUCGUUUCCGAGUUCUCCGGCCCCUGAUGGGGACGUCUGCGCCCCUCUUCUCAGGCCAGAGGUGCAGAGAUAUACCUCCCCGUCCCGGGGCUCAGUCAGCACUGCUAGGUUGUGCUACGAGCCAAGGACUGGCUGCCAGGAGCUCCUGGGGGCACCGCAGUGUGGGCCACCAGCUUGGAAGCAGAGGUCCCACCAGAUCUAGCGCUCAAUAAGGAGCAGCAGCUGCAGAUCUCCAAGGAGCUGGUCGACAUUCAGAUCACAACCCACCACCUACAUGAGCAGCACGAGGCUGAAAUCUUCCAGCUGAAGAGUGAGGUGCAGCCCAAGAACACCAUGAAUCCCGAGAAUGAGCAGCACAGGCUGGGGAGCGGCGUGAGUGUGCAGCCACCUAGCUCAGGGGAGAGGGCAGCACCAGAGACCCCAAGCCUAGGGUCUCAUCUAGCCAGCCCUGUGUGCCCCACAGCUGCAGGGGGAAGUGAAGCGGGU
rnacentral:sRNA from 1 species